GUACUACUCUCUCCGUUCAACAAAGGAUGUCUUAACUUUGACUAAAUUUGAAUGCAUCUAUACACUAAGUCACGUCUAGAUACAUCCAAUUUUUGAAAAACUUGAGACAUCUUUUGUUGGACGGAUGGAGUAUAAU
rnacentral:pre_miRNA from 1 species